rnacentral:rRNA from 1 species
GACGAACGCUGGCGGCGUGCUUAACACAUGCAAGUCGAACGGAAAGGCCCUGCUUGCAGGGUGCUCGAGUGGCGAACGGGUGAGUAACACGUGGGUGAUCUGCCCCUUACUUUGGGAUAAGCCUGGGAAACUGGGUCUAAUACUGGAUAGGACCAUGCUGUAGGUGGUGUGGUGGAAAGAUUAGUUUCGGUAAGGGAUGAGCUCGCGGCCUAUCAGCUUGUUGGUGGGGUAAUGGCCUACCAAGGCGUCGACGGGUAGCCGGCCUGAGAGGGUGGACGGCCACAUUGGGACUGAGAUACGGCCCAGACUCCUACGGGAGGCAGCAGUGGGGAAUAUUGCACAAUGGGCGCAAGCCUGAUGCAGCGACGCCGCGUGGGGGAUGACGGCCUUCGGGUUGUAAACUCCUUUCAGCCAUGACGAAGCCCUUGUGGUGACGGUAGUGGUAGAAGAAGCACCGGCUAUCUACGUG